rnacentral:rRNA from 1 species
UAUGGAGGGUGCAAGCGUUAUCCGGAUUCACUGGGUUUAAAGGGUGCGUAGGCGGAUUGGUAAGUCCGUGGUGAAAUCUCCGAGCUUAACUCGGAAACUGCCAUGGAUACUAUUAGUCUUGAAUAUUGUGGAGGUUAGCGGAAUAUGUCAUGUAGCGGUGAAAUGCAUAGAUAUGACAUAGAACACCAAUUGCGAAGGCAGCUGGCUACACAAAUAUUGACGCUGAUGCACGAAAGCGUGGGGAUCAAACAGG